CGGCAACGGAUAUCUCGGCUCUCGCAUCGAUGAAGAACGUAGCGAAAUGCGAUACUUGGUGUGAAUUGCAGAAUCCCGUGAACCAUCGAGUCUUUGAACGCAAGUUGCGCCCGAAGCCGUCAGGCCGAGGGCACGCCUGCCUGGGCGUCACACGCCGUCGCCAUCC
rnacentral:rRNA from 1 species